rnacentral:rRNA from 1 species
UACGUAGGGGGCAAGCGUUAUCCGGAUUCACUGGGUGUAAAGGGAGCGUAGACGGCAAUGCAAGUCUGGAGUGAAAGGCGGGGGCCCAACCCCCGGACUGCUCUGGAAACUGUAUAGCUGGAGUGCAGGAGAGGUAAGUGGAAUUCCUAGUGUAGCGGUGAAAUGCGUAGAUAUUAGGAGGAACACCAGUGGCGAAGGCGGCUUACUGGACUGUAACUGACGUUGAGGCUCGAAAGCGUGGGGAGCAAACAGG